UUUAUUGAACUGUUUCCUAAUUGUUUACAAGCUGGACAUUUUUGUCAGCCAUACACAGCAGUGUUGUGUGCUACCCAGAAGUUCUGACUCAUCAACACUUUGUCGGGUUAGCAGAGAGCAGGCUGCACUUGCCAUCUCGAACCCAGAGUUCUUUCUGUGCUGUAUUAUUUUGAGAUUUGGUCCAGAGAAAAAUGAUGGAUCAAGGCAGAAAAGCAGGUAACGGGCUGUCCCCAGAUGCGCACAUUAAAAGGCAAAGAGCUAUCGAAAUGUCACAAACUUUCGUUACAGCCCAUCAUUGGAGAGCUUUUCCAGCCGAGAGCAUCCACCUUGACAUCCUCCCCUCCCCAGCUCCAUCAGGCACGAAGAGGCUCCUGCUGACAGACAUUAGGGACACGAAGCAAACUGACACAGUGGAUUAAUCCUGGUGUCUGGGGAGCAGUUAGGACGUGUCAUGUCAAUAGGUGUCUGGGCACCUUUUAGACCAGGCCUUAAUGGCCCAGCCUGGCCCUAAUCGUCCCUCACAUGCCACGGUUCUGCUCUUUCAUCUUUGCUGUGUGUGUCCCAUGAAGUCUCAUUUUAAACAAGGCAGCAAGGCACAGUGACCACCGCAGAAAUCCACUUCCCUCGAGGCCUUGCCACAGAUGCCAGCAGCGCCACCAGCCCCCAUCCCCAAAGGAAAACACAACCAAACAGUCAUUAAAACGAAGAAAACCACGACCAUGGUAAAUUUGUCAGUGUUGGCGGAGAAGAUAAUGAUACUGAAAAUAGCCUGAAACUCUUUGUCAGAUGGCUUGCAUUUUUGGUCACAGGAGAACGUUUUCUAUGUGACACGUGUAAGUGACCUGUGGGACCUUGUCAUCAGUGAGGUCAGAGCACUCACUGAUGCUGAAAUUUGGGGGGUUCCCCAGGCUGCCCUCAUCGUUCUUGCAACAUGGCUGCCAGGGUAGUCGGUGUGAAGGAUGGGGUAGGCUCACCCUGGAUGUGAAGGAUGGGGUAGGCUCACCCUGGGUGUGAAGGAUGGGGUAGGCUCACCCUGGGUGUUUGCACCUGCGUCCUUGCUGCUUCCAGGUCCCUGGGACAUGGCCUGUGGUCUGCACUGCUUGGGUGGUCCGUGGAACGUUUUGCUCACAAUGUUCAUAAGAAGUAAUACAAAAUAGUAUCCUUCUCCCGCAAGGGUAGGGCCGGGAGAACUGGGAGAACAAGAGGCUAUUGGCACCUGCCAGGUGGAAAGCAGGUGGACAACUCAACAGAGGGUCUGUCUGUUGGCACCCAGCGGUGUCGAACUGGUUAUGUAAAAGAGAAAGAAAAAGGAUACUAAGUCUCUUGAAUGAAACUGGGCCCCAUCACACGACUCUCUCAUAAGCCCAGCACAGCUCACCAGGGCCUCUCUUGACCAGAGGCUUCUGCAGAAUUCCAUCAGAAUGGAGGCUCACACCUGCCAGUUGGCUCUAUGGCUAAAGGUCAUAAUAAUAGAACAUCUCUUAUACCUGAUAUUUUUUAGAUCUUCUGAAUCACAUUUUACAAAAACAACUUAGCAAUUUUGAUUCAAAAUUCAGAUGCUUUAUUUUUCUUGUAAUUUUCCUGCACACACACACACAUACACAGCCAUCAAACUAAUACUUCACACACACACACGCACACUGCCAUCACACUAAUACAACACACACACACACACGCACACUGCCAUCAAACUAAUACUUCAUAUCCACUGUAAGCUUAUCUUUAAUUUUGGGGCUGAAUUUUGGGGCUGGAAGUACUAAUGAGGAAGGGACUGUUCCCACCCUCUGGCAAGG
rnacentral:lncRNA from 1 species